UCAGUCAUGGCAUUUCGAUACAAUCUCUCUUAUCCAAUAGGAUAUUAUCCCAAAGGAAGUUUACUAUAAAGAAGUAAAACAAUGGACACUCAUUCAAGUUCUUGGUUCUCUUAUGCUCCUAUCUUUGAACACGAACUCUGUUAAUGAUCAAGUCUCC